CCACCACCAACGAUCAGCGGCUAGCUGUGUAUGUACUAGAGGUUAGCCCUGAGGAAGUCGGCUAUCUCCUCCAUGACCUCGUGGUAGUGGUUCGUGUUGGGCAGCAGGUAGAAGCCCACGGUGGCCUUCUCGCGGUACACGAGCUUCACAUGGUGUCCGUCCUCCCGGAGGCCGUCGGCGUAGGCCAGCUGCCGGUCGCAGGUGAGGUCCAGGCCCGACACGAUGAUCAGGCUCCUGGGGAAGGGCAGCCCCGCGAGGCGCCGUCCGUUGGGCCCGAACGGGUUGCACGCCGGGUGGUCCCGGUCGGCGUCCUCGGGCAGGUACGCCUUCCAGUACCAGUCCCUGUCCUGGAGCGUCACGAAGUACUUGCCGUCCAGCCGCCGCUCCGACUCCGUGCGCUCGGCGCCGCCGAACAUGGCGUUCAGCAGCACGUUGCCGCGCACGCGGAUCCCGGCCACGGCCGCGCGGACGGCCACGUGGUGGGCGAUGUUGCCGCCGGAGCUGUCCCCCGACAGGAACACGCGGGCGCCCCCGCUCGAGCCGCUGCCGAGGGAAGGCUGCGACGUCGCCCACUUGAGCGCCGCCCACCCGUCGUCGUACGCGCACGGGUACCGGUGCUCCGGGGCGCGCCGGUAGUUCACCGACACCACCACGCCCUUGCUCAGCCUCACCAGCCGCCGGCACAGGUUGUCGUAGAUGGCCGUGCCGGACGACGAGUGCGCGAAGCUGCCGCCGUGGAAGAAGAGGAUGACCGGGAACGGCGUCGACGCCGCCGGCGUGCCGCCGAGGAAGUCCAGGAUGGGCAGGGUGGCGCCGCCGCCGCCGUUGUUGUUGGCGGCGGCGCGGUAGAUGCGGACCUCCAGGCCGGUCGACGUGUCGAUCACGUGGUCGAAGGAGGAGACCCCCUCCUGGGCCCGCGCGUCGGGCGCCACCCGCCGGUCCAGGAACUCGGCCAGGUCGCGGUCGAAGGUGCCGUCCGCCCGCCGGAGCAUGUUGUACGCCAGCUUGAAGUUGGAGAUGAGGACCCAUGUGUGGAUCGGCACCGCCCCCUGCACAACCACACCACACAACAACAACAAGGAACAAACAUCAGCAGCAACAGACAGUUCCUCAGCAACACUCAAACCUCCUCCUCAUCACACACACACACACACGCCACCCUACUCUUUUGCAGUUUCGUGAGAACGGCAAUGCGAGCGGCCACCGGACCUUCGGCCGCCGCCUGCCACUGCCAGCAGAAAAGAUGGAAGCUUUGGCAAUGAUUUGGUCGCUUCCGUCUUGUUGGGUAGCCAUUUCCGUGACACCCCUCGCCACUCCCUCCCAAACUCCAAAAAAAAAACAACGGGGGCAA
rnacentral:misc_RNA from 1 species